UAGCAGGGGGGGCAAGCGUUGUUCGGAAUUACUGGGCGUAAAGCGCGCGCAGGCGGCACUCUAAGUACGUCGUGAAAUAUCCCGGCUCAACCGGGAGGGUGCGAUGUAGACUAGGGAGCUAGAGGUCGGUAGAGGGGGGGUGGAAUGCUGGUGUAGCGGUGAAAUGCGCAGAUAUCAGGAAGAACACCCGUGGCUAAGGCGGCUCUCUAGUACGGUACUGACGCUGAGACGCGAAAGCGUGGGGAGCGAACAGG
rnacentral:rRNA from 1 species